rnacentral:lncRNA from 1 species
CGCGACACAUGGGAGAUAGGAUUGCAGGCGACAUGUAUCGCUGCUUGGGUAUCUGAGUGAAUCGAAAGGGGAAGAGAAGGUAGAGAUGAGAGAUCUACAAGCAGGCGGACCGACCAGGUAAUCUCUAUGGUAACUCGUCUCAUAGACCUAUAUUCUGUCUCUGCAGAUGAAAGUAAAAUUUAUACAUACUUAUUUGAUUUUCAGGAUAUCGGAGCACCACCAAGAAUAAUGAAGAACCUACUGGCUGACCUCUUGGAGUCUCUGCCAGCCGCUCAAGCCACCCGGUCGGCAUCACAAAAUGCAAUUAAAUCAAAUGAGAGAUCUGAUGAUAGAAAGAUUCCUUGUGAGAGAUCUGCAGAUAAGUAGUGUAAGACACGCAAACUAACUAUGAAAUGAAAAAGGCAUGGCCUUUGCAUGAAUUGAUUUAGGCAGAGCACUACAAAGGACAAAUUUGGUUGUGUGCUGUUAAGAUAAUUAAGCUUGCCCACCAAAUGUCUGUACACACUAGGAUCUUGAAAAAAAGGUCCAUUAUCAGCAUAGAGCUUGGAAUAGGGAUCAAGAGGUAAAGACACAACUGAACCAAAGUAAUUAAACUCUUUAAGAGGUCCAAGGUAAAUUGCCUCUAACUAAUAAUAAAACCCCUAUUUUUCUCGAAGAAUUUCCAUGCGUAGGAAAUAAAAUGCCACUAGACAGAAUUUCUCAAUAUGAGAGAGCCAUUCCAAAUAGUGUCAAACCAGAAUUACUACAAUCCUUUUUAGAAAAAGGUGGCUUAACUAACGAAAGAAAAAUGUCUCUUAAAUGUUUGACCUCGAGUUAUGUGUUGAGAAAAUUUGUAAUGUGAUUGUUGCCUUCAACAUCAUUGCAUGUAAGCAAAGUAUCAUCUGCAUAGACUACUAUGAUAUAAAUUAAAGUUUUAGAUUAUUUGUAGAAUAGAGAAUAGUCAUCGAGGUAACUAGAAUAACCUUUGUAGUUGAGUGCCCCGGCAUGCCUUGCAUAUCAUUGUCUAGAGGCUUGCUUUAAAGCAUAUAAUGAUUUUUUCAAUAAACACACUUUAGUAGGAUGAUGAGGAGAUAGGGUAGCAUAAAAUCUCAUGUAGACUUCUUCUUGCGAAUAUCCAUGUAAAAAGGUAUUAUUCACAUCAAGUUGAGAAACAACACAACCUUUCUUGACUGCUACUAUAAUGAGACACCUAAUUGUGGUUAUUUUAACCAUGGGGGAGAAGGUCUCUCAGUAGUCAAUUCCUUCUCUAUUCCCCCUCCCUCCCGACCACUAACAUGGCCUUCAACCUUUCUAUAGUACCAUCUGACUUAUGCUUUACUUUGUAAAUCCACUUACAAGGUAGAGCCUUCUUCUCUGGUGGAAAAGCCACCACAUUCUAAGUAUGAUCCAUUUCUAAAAUUGCAAUUGCUACCUCAAUCGCUCUCCUCCAACCUGCUUCUACACAAGCUUCAUGAUAAAUUGUUGGUUUUGAAAUGUUAGAUACACUCUUUAGAACAUUUUGAUUUUUUGGUCUUAGUGAUUUAAAAGAAAAAAGUAGGUUUAAAUGACUAAGAGAAACAAGAGGAGUUGAGGUCAGUGAAAAAUAUGUUAUUGCACACAUAGUCAUUUUAGUAUGUCGACUUUUGACUGAUCCUUUUAGAUUUUCUAGUUGGAGAUGGUGGAAUGGAAAAACAGGGAAGUGGAGAUGAGAUGGGUGAAUUGGGUGUACUAGGGUCAUAGGUUGAGGAUGAACUUGUUGAGAAAUAUGGUGAAUUGUUAAGGCUAAUACUUGGCAAGAGGGAAGAUGCAACAAGAUGGUUGGUUGUCUUAUCUUCUCUCCUAGAUGUCCAGUAGGUGUAGAAAAAGAAAGAGAGCAGUUGAAGCUCCAGGUGUAGAGAUAGUGUUGAUGGAUGGUUAAACAUAUGUUAGAUUUGUGGUAAAAGGAAAGAACAAAGCUUGAGGUGUUGUGGUUGUCAAAGUGAAAGUAAAAUGAUCCCAUGGAACCUUACAUUCCUGGAAAUAUACACCUUUCUUGUCUCAAUUUUCAAAUUUUAUAACCCUUUUGACCUUGUGCAUAACCCAAGAAUACACAAGCAUUUUCUCUUAGCUCAAACUUACCCCUCUUAUGAGCCAAAGUAUAUACAUAACAUAGGCACUCAAAAUAUCUAAGAGAUUCAUAGUUAGGAGGUCAUCCAAAUAGAACCUCAUAAUGUAUUUUUCCUUUCGAAACUCUAGAAGGUAUUCUGUUGAUGAGAUGCGCAGUUAUAAAACACAUUCUCCCCAGUUGGAUAGGGAUUUUAGAUUGAAAAAAUGGAGCUCUUGCAACCUCUAGAAGAUGCUUAUGCUUUCUCUCAACCACCCCAUUUUGUUGGAGUAUUGCCACACAAGAUAUUUCAUGCAAUAUUCUUCGUGCUUCAAGGAAAGCAGCUUCAUGCGAACCUUUGCCUAAUUCCCCAUGCAUUAUUAGGCCUUAUCCUCUUCACUUUCAUGUCAGGUUGUCUUUCUACUAUGCUCAAAAGGUGUUUAAAAGCUGUAAAGGCAUUACUUUUACAACUUAACAAAAAGGUCCAUGUAGCUCUACUGUAAUCAUCUACAAUAGUUACGAAGUACUUACAACCAUUAUAUGUCAGAGUCUUGAAUGGUCCCCAAGUAUAAAUGUAAAUUAAAUAAAAGAUUUCCUUUGUUUUAAUUUGACUUAAAGUAAAAAAAAAAAAGUCUAAUUAUUUGGCUUGAGGACAAAUGUUACACAUAUUAUCAAAAUUUGAAUAGAAAUUAAUGUAACUAAGAUUCUUCAUUACUCAAAAGGCAAAAAAAUCCAAUCUAAUAUGCCCAUUGGCUUAUAUUAGAAUAAAAUUAGUCACUAAUGGUGUUUGAAAGGAAACAGAACUCGAACAAUGACUGGAUUUUCUUUCUUUUGGAAUUGAAACUACAUUUUGACCGAGUAGAAUGCUAGAAACUACAUUAGUCGGCUUGAAUAAAUAUAAUCCAUCUCUUACUUCACCAAAAACUUGUCUGCUCCUCAUUAACGUGACAUGUAAUAGACAACCAUCCAAAGAAAGAUUUAGAGAAUACUUGAAUUGACUACAUAACUUAUGAACAAAUAAUAAGUUAUAUCUGAAAGAAGAUAUAUGAAGAAAUCUCUUAAGGAUUAUAUCUGGCUGAAUGGAAACACUACCUAUGUAUGUAACAUAUAACUGAAAAGAGUUGGAUAAACUAAUAUGUAAAGGGACAGGUAGGGGAGUCAAAUUUAUAAAAGAACUUGAAUCAAAUCACAUAUGCACAAAGACCCCUGAGUCAAUGAUCUAAUUUCUAGUAUUAAAAGCUAAAAAUCAAGUUCAAGUACACUUAAGAAUUGUACCAGCCACAACAUUAACACUGAUUUUUGAACUUGCAUGUGCUGUGUUCCCAAUCUAAACCUAUUUGAUCAAGUUAACUACCCUAGAGACUUGUUCUUUGAUGAACAUUUCUGGAUGAUUGUUUAUGUUUUCCUCAUUAUUAACAGCCGCUGCAACCUCUCCCUCAUGUCCUGUAAUCAUUGUAGUUCCUUUCUUUGUUGCCUAGUAAUUAUUUGGUUGUUUGGUGAACUGGAGAUCUUCUGGAAAGCCUAUGAGUCCGUAAUAGUCUACUCUCACAUGUUCUAUCCUCAUGCAGUGAGAGCAUGUCAUAUUAGGGUUGUAAUUAGACUUCUUUCGUUUGAAUUUUUGUUGACUAUUUCCAAACUUUUGAGGAGCAAUCCAGGGUUUUAGAGUCUAAUUAUUGUUCUUUUAUUGAAACUUUCUCCGAGCUCCUACCAUAAAGGAUGCUCCAUUAUAAGGAUAUUGAGCACUCAUUUAUACUUCUCUUUGACUCUCAUCCUGUAGUAACAAAGAACAAGCAUGAUCUAGGCUAGGAAGAGGGUUCACCAUGAGGAUGUUUCCUCUUGCUUGCCGAUAUACAUCGUUAAGUCCCAUAAGAAAUUGGAUAACUUUCUCAUAUACCAAAAACUUAGAUACCUUCUUCUUUCCAUCACACACACUGUCACAGAUGCAUCCCAAGUGUGUGCUUAGAGAGCCCAACCCAUCUCACGGUCUCUUUAUAGUUGUGAAGUAACCUGCUAUGCUGCUAUUUCCUUUGACUGACUUUGAUAUCUCAUUUUUGCAGGUAGUAGAGUUUGGCACCAUUGGAUUGGCCAAAUCUGUGCUCAAGGUUGUUCCACAGCUCCAUUGCAG